CGCCGCCAGGUGUGUGGGGGGUCUCCAUGGAGACGGAAGCAUGCAACUGCUUUGGCUACAACGCCAAGCCCCGCGCGUUCCAGCCUCCUCGGUUCUGUGCGGACGUGGAGAGCCGGAGCGUGGAGACGCGGAGCCCGCGGAACCUUUUGGCGUCCCAAUCACCUGAGUUCCCUCCUUCACCACCCAGCCACAGGAGCUUGCCCACCAAGCUGGACUGACGCGUGCCCUGUCAAGUCUCCAUGACGCUGGGUCCCGAAGGAGGUGAAGGAUUUGUGCUCAAGCUCCAUGGCUUGCCUUGGUCUUGCUCUACUGAUGAGGUGCAGAAUUUCUUCUCUGACUGCAAAAUUGAAGGCAGGGCAUCAGGCUUGCAUUGCGUCUGCACCAGGGAAGGCAGGCCGAGUAGAGAGGCUUUUGUUGAACUCUAAUCAGAAGAUUAUACCAAAUGGCCCUGGAAAAGGACAGAGAAACUGGGGCCCACGGGUGUACUGAAAAUGGAGUGGGGGCUGAAGUACAGUGAUGUGGUUAGUGCUAGUCACGACAGCUCAAGUUGAUAACACUUUUUUUUUUUUAAAUAGGAAAACACUUUCAGUCUAACCAAGGAAUAUGAAUGGCUGUUAUUACGGAAGCUUGUACUUUAUGCAAUUAUUGCCAGUUAAUAUACUAUAGUAGCUGAAAUUUGAUUUUACUCACAAUUAAUAUACUGUAGUAUCUGAAAUUUGAAUCAUGCUGUUGGGAGACUGGUGUUAUUUUAUUUAUGCCCUCUCUGACUUGGGAGUGUGCUCUGUUGCCAUCUCCUUUAAGCAUUCUUUCGACCCAGGGUGUUGAAUUGCCACCUGUUGGCUAUGACUUAGACAUUAAAAUAUUUUAGUGCUUUAUAGUUUGUGUAUAUAUUUUUGUAUCAAUAAAGCAAUUCUUUAUUUAAUAAACUUCUCCUAGUAUUGCAGAAAACAAAACAAAACAGGCAAAGCUUAGGCACUAUACUGCCUCGGUAGUCUAAUGCUGUCACAUUUUAUAGCAAUUUAAAUCAGGAAUCAUGCAUGUUUAAAAUAAUAAGAAUAAUUAUUUGAAAAUUUUAGGCAGUUCUCUUAGUAUUUUAAAAAUUGUCAGGAAUAACAGAAUUUCAAAAAACUCUGAAAUAGUAAAGGGGGGACUGUGUUUGUUGUUAUUAUACAUGGUCCCCUUAAAUAGCACCCAAAACUUAACUUCCUUGCUUGCCAUUCUCCUGUACAUGUUUUGUAUGGCUUUGAAACCUUAGUGACUGAUCUGCUGACUUGUGUUGGUUUACUACUCAGUGUUGUUAUAAUUCAGAAUCUUUUCUUUUAAACCAGCUCACCCAAGUAUUCGUUUAGUAGUGAUGUUCAUGAUUGUGCUGUAAAAUGUGUGUGAAAAUUGAUAACUCUGGGAUAGAUUUUGAUUUUUAAUAAAAUUUGAUUUUGAGUAUUGUGCAAUUAAAUUGAUAGAGGAGUCAUCUGUGAAAUGCUGGGGAAAUGAAAAGCAGAAUUAAAGAAACAAAAUGUCUUUGUAACAUUUGUAGAUUUAUGCUGAGACUCGCCAUGUCUUCACUUACAUAUUCUUCACUUCACUGCCGUAUAUUGUAACACAGGUUUUGUUGUUUGUUGUAUAUUUCUGGUUUUAUGCUUUAGAAUAUGCAUGUAAUUUUUACAAGAGUGGGAGCAUGCCUUACAUAUUCAUGUAUAAGCUGCCAAUCUUGCAUUUAAAAGCAUUGUGAACAAGACAUUUUAUCUAUAUACUCUUGUUGGGCAUUUGGAUUUCUUCCUAUAUUUGGGCAUUAAAAAUUAAACUGUGAAACA